GCCGAAUAAACGGAAUUGAAUUGUCGUGAGAAACAUAGGCGCGGUUGCUUCAUACAAUACGUUGCUAGACAUUAUAAACUGCUAUCAAAUUUAUUUGUGGCUCCCAAUAUACACUUGUGUCAACGAGGCGCAGGGAGAUGAAGCCCCAUGGGCGUGGACGGCAGUUCAGGCCACUAAGAAGAUGGCGAUUCAAAUAUGAGAGACGUUUACACGGAAGUGUACAGGGUAAAUUCAUGAUGUUAGGUCGGUCAGGAAAUAAGAUAUUAGAAUUGAGUUAAAGAAAAGAAUGGAUAGUACUGCGUGAAAAGCAGAACGAGACGUUGCAAUUUAAACAAUUUGUUUGGGAAGAAAUAUAAUAAUAUAUAUACGGUAGACGCUCUAUAUGCCCUUCCAAUCAAGUAAACAUAUCCGGAACAAAGUUUGGUAUUCGUGAGCCCGUGCAAACUCGUGCAUGGUGAAGACUUUUUGAUUAAAAUGAACUUUGUUCAACCUUGCUUGCAAUUGAUUCACCAACAUGUUCUAAAUUUGAUACGAAAAUUGAAAAAUUAGUUAUGUAAAAUGAGUUGCAGGAUUCAAUGGAAAUUAUGCAAUAAGCUCGCAGAUUUCGGGUCAAUGUAGAUGCUUGUAAUACAAUACAAUGCGGGAAAAAUAAAAAUAGCCCUUGCUUCAUAUAUAAGAGGGUUACAGGCAAUUGCGGUGGCACGUAUGCGUAACACCUUCCAAGUAACA